AAUUCUCAAAACCCUUUUCUUUUGGGAAAGGAUUUUGGACUUGGAGGCUUUUUGCUGGUUUCACCUCGAAGCCAGCUCCUCCUAAAUAAAUUAGUGGGGUCUGCUUUGCCGAUCCUUGACGUGAUAAGAUGUUUCUACGUCUUGGGUUUGGCAUCGUCCCUUGGACUCCUGCUUCUAACCGUCUCAUUGACAAUGAUGGUGUUCCGGUCACCACCGUUUCAUCGGUGGGAGGCUUGACCCACGAAAAGAA
rnacentral:misc_RNA from 1 species